rnacentral:lncRNA from 1 species
CAAUCAUAACGAAGCUUACAUCACUCUGCUGAACAAAUUGCCCUAUAUCAGCUCUAGAAAUCAUACAGUGUCGUGCUCUCUUAUUUGUCAGUGUUUGAUUUUGCAAAGGGACACACAUUUCUGUUUAGCCAAAGUGAACAGAGAUGCCUCGUACUUGUGUGAACAGUGCAGAUAACUUCUGCUCUGUUUGUGGUGAAGUGACUUUUGCAUCACAAAAGCGCAGUAUAACCACUAUGGUUAAGAAAGCCUAUCACCUUUAUUUUGGCUGCAAAAUUGGAGUUCAGGACAAGAGGUGGGCCCCACACAUAUGCUGCAACACUUGUGCAACAAAUCUUCGCCAGUGGUUGAACAGGAAAAGGAAAUCUAUGCCUUUUGCAGUGCCAAUGAUUUGGAGAGAGCCAACAGAUCAUACCAACAAUUGUUACUUCUGCAUGGUGCCUCCAGUUGGGAAAGGUGUGUCAAAGAAGAAAAAGUGGAUUGUGCAUUAUCCAAACAUUCCAUCAGCUAUACGCCCAGUACCCCACGGAGAAGGACUGCCGGUUCCUGAUGCACCGGAAUCAUCCUCACUUGAGUCAGACGAGGAAGAGGAUGAAACUUCUGGUCCUGAACCAUCAAUGUCACAGGACCCACGUUUUCUCCCAUCGUCCUCCUCGGAACCACACCUCAUAACACAAGGUGAACUGAAUGACCUUGUCAGGGAUUUGGAACUACCCAAGAGUAAGGCAGAGCUGUUGGGCUCCAGACUACAGCAGUGGAAUCUCCUGGCAGGUGAUGUUAGGGUUUCCAUGUUCCGUGACCGUCAAAAGGAUCUUGUCCCAUUCUUCUUCAUGGAAGGUGAUCUUGUAGCCUGCAACAAAAUCGAUGGUUUGAUGGCAGCCCUCAACAUCGUUCACGAUCCAGAUGAGUGGAGACUGUUCAUUGAUUCAUCGAAGACGAGUCUUAAAGCUGUUUUACUGCAUAAUGGCAAUAUUUUACCAUCAAUUCCAGUUGGUCAUGCAGUCCAUAUGAAGGAAACCUAUGACAACAUGAAACAACUUUUGAGCUGCAUAAACUAUGACCAACAUCAGUGGCAGCUUUGUGGCGAUUUGAAGGUUGUUGCUCUCUUGGUCUGCAGACUGGAUACACAAAGUACUGCUGUUUUCUCUGCGAAUAGGAUAGUCGUGCAAGAGAUUCCCACUACAUCAAGAAAGAUUAGCCACUCCGACAGUCAUUGGAGCCUGGGAGGAAAAGUGUUCAGCAUCCACCACUUGUUGAAUCAAGGAAGAUUUUGUUACCACCCUUACACAUCAAGCUGGGUCUGAUGAAGAACUUUGUCCAGGCCAUUGAUAAAACACAAGCAGCUUUCAAGUACCUCCGUGGAAAAUUUCCAAUGUUAAGUGAAGCUAAGAUAAAGGAAGGUG